rnacentral:lncRNA from 1 species
GAACCCGGAUGCACAAUCGCACAAGUUGUCAACAAGUAUUUAUUCGUAAUUAUAAAACUCUCAUUAGAUAUUAAAGCAAUACAGUUGUUCUCUUAUGUAGUCACGCAACAGUCAAAAGUCAAUGACACAAUAAUGAUGCUGGAUACCUAGGAAAUAAUUUUUUGGUGUCUUUCUGUGAAAUAAAUGGCACGUGUCUCUGUGUUAAAUUGAUAAAUUAUGUCUGUGAAUGUUUUAAGUCUCAUUUCGAAAAACUACAGCCAUCUAAUGAUAAUACUGACCUGAUUUUAUAUUAAUAUAUGUCACAUAAGAAACAAUGACAUGUGAUUUGAUCCAAUUAUCUACUAUGCCACAAUGGAUGGGGAUGAAAAUGACUAUAGAAAUUCAUCAAAAUUACCAGGCUUUUAAUUCGUAACGCCAGACGAGCAUGUUGUGUAGAAAAACCUCAUGCAGCUGUCCAAUAAACCAUUUGUAAGACUAAAUCAUGCAAAGGUAAAAACAAACCAACAAGAAAAGCUUUAAAAGAUGUGACAGAAUGUGAAAUAUCUUCAAUAGAACAAUAAAUGAUAUGCUAAAAGCAUUUACAAAAACUCCCUAAAAGAGAGACAGCAAGCCAAAGAUAUACGGGCUCCAAAUCUGUUCAACUUAUAGAGAAUCGUCUCUAUGUCUCUGUAUUUUUGCCUCCACUUAACGUUACCUUGUAACAUAUCAUUAGGGAAACAUUAUCCCUGUUUUAAUCAUUUGAAAUUUUAUGGUUACGAAAAUUUCAUCUCAUGAAUCGAUGAUUUAUAACUGGGUUUUGGAAUUAUAUAAAUGCAUCUGUAUCUCAAAAUUAGGUAUAAAAUGCCAUUUUCGUGAAUCGGUAUCACAGUAGUAAGUGUUUGGAGGACAUACUUUAAUGAGCAAUAUGGUGUUUGGGAAAUAUCAUCAUAUUAUUUUCUUAUUCAACAUAUUGAUAUAUUUGAAUUGUCAGAUAUUAGGCGAUAUUACAACAAGCUUCAUCUGCCAUUGGUGGCUCACAAGUGCCGAUAAUAUUAGUGCUUCGCGUCACUAUACGACGCCAUUAGUUUCAUACUGUUACUUUAUGAUAUGGGAAAUAUUCUUGUUGUAAGAAUACGAUAUAGAAUUAAGAACAUGUCCUGGACAGGAAAAGAUAUCAAAUACUGAAAUAUGACGAUAUGAAUAUUAAGGAUCUAAUCCGAAACAUAAUAAAUGACUAAUUUUGCUUUGCUAUAUAGUGUCACGGUGUAAAGCUAUUAAUUUCAUUGGUUUUAUUUGAUAAUUACACGAUCUUGAAAUUAUUAAAGAACACAUACUGUUUUUGAUUAGUUGAUUGGUGUGAUGGGGCUAAUGUUCUAUAAGCUGGAAUGUCCUCGAUCAACUGACUAAGUAAGGUAGUUGGCUCAGAACUUUUCUGAAGUCCUGUAUUCAAUUGCUGCGAGUUUAUGUGUAUUGGUCCUUGCUAAGUACUUGGUCCCGGAUGGGAGAAAAUACUAAAUACAGGAAAUAAGGACUUAAAUUAAAGUAUGAGUAUUUUAUUUACUAUUUAGCUAGGUUUCUAGAUCUUAAUAUGUAUUUGUAUAUUUUGCUUUUACCUGAAUAAGUAUUACAUUGCAAAUUUUCCCCCUUCUUUUGUGCAUAAAACUGCAAAAAGACUACAGCGUACUGAAAACAGACUGCAAGAGUGGCGAAAGAAGUCACAUUUAAACUCAUAAGUCGAAAAUAAACUGAAAACGCCAUUGCUAAAUAAGAAAAUCACCAGAACACAUAACACAAAAAAAAAAAACUAAAGACCAAAACAACACGAACCCCACCUAAAAUUGUGUGCGAGGAGGGGGUUUUAUAUCACGUGCUCUGGAAUGGUUAGCAGAUCCUGGGUUUCCCAUAUUAAUAAAAACCCGGAAUAACUUUAAUUUGGUAGGUCAUAUUCGUAAAAAGGAGACGCGAUUGUAGUUACAACAUUAGGAACAUAUCCGCUAUCAUCUGUGAAUAAUAUACAACAUUAAAAAAUUCAAUUGACGCAAUUCCCGAUAAAACUCUUUCAAAGUAUUAUUCUUAACAUACAAAUUUAAUAUCGCCAUAUGUUGCUGAUAUUUGAAACUCGAAUCUUCAAAAUACUGGAAAUUAUCAUUGAUUUUUUAGAUUUGACAUUUGUCUCAACUGAAUUCUUUUCAAACGUAUACAGUACACUGAUUCUAACAGUACACUAGACUGUGUUAUAGGUAAUAUUUGCUUGUCAUAUUGGAGUUUUUACUCGAUGUAAGUACAAUUUUUAAACAUGGCUUAAAUGUAGUCAAUUUCUAUUAUCCAAUCAAUUGUUGAAUCAUGCUAGAUACUAGUAUUAUGAAUGUGCAGGUCCUUUGCAUUAAACUCCUUUUUACCAAUUCAAUACAUAUACAGUAUUUUCUAACUAUAGAAUAAGCAUGUCUAUAAGAUAAAUAUGACAUUACACAUUACUUUUGAAACAAGCUUAACUAGCCUUAUCUCAAUGUCAUAACAAUUUUCUCAUGCAGUAGAUGUUUAAAGUGAAAUACUGAAUUGAGAAAAAAACCUGAAUGUUUAAUAUGCUGACGCAUGUGGUGUGAUGGAUGUUUUAAAUUCAUUACAGAUCAUAUUUCAUUUUCUUUUCAUGAUGUGUAUAAUACUGUUUAUAUCAAUCAUUAUUUCAAUCCGAUUUUAUUGUAAUAUAUAGUCAUGAAGCUAUAAAUACGAAUGGUGACAUAUGCACCAACAAACCAGUCGACAAUUAAUAGGCAAGUUAUGUCUUCUCUAUUACCUGAGCUCCUCAAAAGCCGGAGCUGUCAGAGCGACAAGUGACUUCCAACUUGCCCUUAACAGUAUACAGUUAUACAAUUCUCUAGUACUAAGCCUAACUAAAUUACCUAACACAGCUUGCAUUGAUAUAAUCUGGCCAACAAUUCCGGCAACAAACUUUGCAAUGUGCAAAAUUUUUCCUUUUCCGACACAGAAAAGUAUUUUACCGAUAACAUCAACUAAUCUGUCUAUCAUUAUUCUUAAAAUGUUUUAAAGACUUAUCAAUUAGGUGAUUCGUAUUCACCUGAAAACUAUUACCAUGUAGUAAAUCUGAGCAAAUGCUACUUAAUUUAUUAACAUUAAAUAAAUUAGCACUUAACUUUCGUUUUUUCUCUGGACAUUCAAAUUUCCAGUGACCAGGCUUGUAGCAGUAAUAGCAAACUUCGGGCCUCCCACUUGCUUUUCCAUUUGUGUCAUUAGAAGUAGCAGAUGAAGUUGGCCUGCUAUACGGGGUUGGUAUUUUCUUCUUAGCUUUCUCUGAUUUUGUUUUUCUCUCCGCUCGUGUCUGCGCACUCAGAGUCUUACGGUCGUCCUCUAAAUCCUCUCUGAGGAGAUUCGUUGUAUAUUUCUGUACCACUUUCCAUCCCAUCUCGGACGAAUCGACCAUUUUAGGUAACUUCUGUCUGAAGCGUAUAAGGUGUAUACCUUCUGCUAUUUUCUGCUUGGCUAAACCGGCACUUGGGUCCCUGGACUCCAAACUGGCAUCGGCUUCCUUCAAAUUUACGCAUAUGUUACGCAUAUGUUACGAUUGAAUUUGAACUGGUCUUCACACGACUUUCUUUGAAACUUGUAGUCAUCGUUCACCGAAAGUUCAUUUUGUAAUCUGUUCAUUUGUAAUUCUGAUCUCUCCUUCUGUUGAUGAUCGAAUUCUUGUAGUUUCAUUGAAAACAUCCCUUCCAUUUGUGACAAUGAAUCAUUCUGCGAUUUUCGAAUUUCCUCCCCGACAAUCUGCUUGACACUAUUCUCGAUGUCCCGAUCCAUCAUGGCACUCAGAAAAAAAUUAUGUUCACUCAAAUAAGGCAGUGCUAGAAAUUACCAAAUAUACACCUAUCAUUUAACACAAUAAUCUUUCCCGGCCAAAAAAAACUCAUACGCCUUCGAACUACUACGUGAGAAGAUAAUUAAUUCCCGUUACACCACGUGCCAUGAAAAUUAGGAAUUCUCAAACAUUCUUAAAAAUUUAAAAGUACAAAACCACAUGCAAUUAUCAUUUAAACUCUUGCUGUUAAGUUAGUUUUUUUCAAAAUAGAACAGAUGAAUUAUUUCAUCACCAAUUAAUAAGCCUAAUCACUUUUCAAAUUUAAAAUCAAAUGUUAAAUUUACAUUAAUAUUAUCAUUUUUUUUCUUUGAGACCUUCCAUCUUCAAGUUUGCUUUUUUCUUUAAUUUCAGAUCAAAAUGAAAUUGGUGUUUGCAGCUGUGUUAAGCAUUGUUUUGAUCUCUCUUGGGAGAUCAUAUGCAUAUUCCUGUUCAUUGCAGUGCCUUAUUAACACAUCAUAUUGUGUGAGCAGUUGUUCGGGAACGGCAAACUUUGAGCAGUACUGGUCAUGUGCCGCUAACUGCAAAACUAAGUGUAACAUCUGCUACGUCCGUUGUCCUAAGCCACGAGGAAAAUAUUCAUGUAGAUAUUAAGGCGCAAUUUUGAAAUCUUCUUUUAUUUUGUUUGUAUUUUGGUUAGUUUGAACUCUCCAGAUUUUAAUAAAUAAAUAAACAGUUUACAUUCAAUUCAUCAAUAUUAUGUUCUGUUUAAUCAUAUAA